rnacentral:rRNA from 1 species
UACAGAGGGUGCAAGCAUUACUCGGAUUUAUUGGGCGUAAAGAGCGCGUAGGCGGGUCUUUAAGUCAGAUGUGAAAUCCCCAGGCUCAACCUGGGAACAGCAUUUGAAACUGAAGAUCUUGAGGGUAGUCGGAGAAAAUGGAAUUCCACGUGUAGCGGUGAAAUGCGUAGAUAUGUGGAAGAACACCGGUGGCGAAGGCGAUUUUCUAGAUUAUACCUGACGCUGAGGCGCGAAAGCAAGGGGAUCAAACAGG